GAUGAACGCUGGCGGCGUGCCUAAUACAUGCAAGUCGAGCGAACAGAUAAGGAGCUUGCUCCUUUGACGUUAGCGGCGGACGGGUGAGUUACACGUGGAUAACCUACCUAUAAGACUGGGAUAACCUCGGGAAACCGGAGCUAAUACCGGAUAACAUAUUGAACCGCAUGGUUCAAUAGUGAAAGGCGGCUUUGCUGUCACUUAUAGAUGGAUCCGCGCCGUAUUAGCUAGUUGGUAAGGUAACGGCUUACCAAGGCAACGAUACGUAGCCGACCUGAGAGGGUGAUCGGCCACACUGGAACUGAGACACGGUCCAGACUCCUACGGGAGGCAGCAGUAGGGAAUCUUCCGCAAUGGGCGAAAGCCUGACGGAGCAACGCCGCGUGAGUGAUGAAGGUCUUCGGAUCGUAAAACUCUGUUAUCAGGGAAGAACAAAUGUGUAAGUAACUGUGCACAUCUUGACGGUACCUGAUCAGAAAGCCACGGCUAACUACGUG
rnacentral:rRNA from 1 species